rnacentral:rRNA from 1 species
GACGAACGCUGGCGGCGCGCCUAACACAUGCAAGUCGAACGGAGAUAGCAAUAUCUUAGUGGCGGACGGGUGAGUAAUGGAUGAGUAAUCUGCCUCAUACACUGGGAUAACACAGAGAAAUUUGUGCUAAUACCGGAUGAGACCACACUACCGCAUGGUAGAGGGGUCAAAGGGCUUUACUGGUAUGAGAUGAGCUCAUCUCCCAUUAGCUAGUUGGUAAGAUAACAGCCUACCAAGGCGACGAUGGGUAGCCGGCCUGAGAGGGUGAACGGCCACAUUGGAACUUAGACACGGUCCAAACUCCUACAGGAGGCAGCAGUGGGGAAUAUUGGGCAAUGGGCGAAAGCCUGACCCAGCAAUGCCGCGUGAGUGAAGAAGGUCUUCGGAUUGUAAAGCUCUUUGAUUAGGGACGAAAAAAUGACUGUACCUAAAGAACAAGCCCCGGCUAACUACGUGCCAGCAGCCGCGGUAAUACGUAGGGGGCAAGCGUUGUCCGGAAUUAUUGGGCGUAAAGGGUGCGUAGGUGGUUUAGCAAGUUGGAAGUGAAAUACCCAGGGCUUAACUCGGGUGCUGCUUUCAAAACUACUAGACUUGAGUGUGGGAGAGAAUAGUGGAAUUCCUAGUGUAGCGGUGGAAUGCGUAGAUAUUAGGAGGAACACCAGUGGCGAAGGCGACUAUUUGGCCCAUAACUGACACUGAGGCACGAAAGCGUGGGGAGCAAACAGG